CUGUGCAGAGAGCAAAAGCCCUGCUGAGGUGGAGCUCUGUGUUUCCCUUCUCCUCCUGUGGCAAGCUGCCUGUGCUGGCAAUGAGGAAAAUCAGCGUGUGCUGCUGGCCCAGGCCGAGGUGGGUGCCCAGCUGCCAGAGCUGCUCUCCUGUGGCACAGCCCAGAUCCAGAGGGAGACCCUGGCCCUGAUCUCCCUCUACUCUGAGCACGAGGGGGGGCCGGAGGCUGCUGGGCAGGCAGGACCUGAGCAGGUGAGGGCAGCAGGAAAAGGUCCUGGCAGGGCUCAGAGCUGCCCCAGCUCAGGGGACAGGGGACUCGGGGUGGCCUCAUCACUCUGCACAGCUCCUCAAAGGCUGGGCUCUGUCUGC
rnacentral:lncRNA from 1 species